GCUGGGGUCACAGAGAGAUCGAACGUCUGGAAUCCUUCGCGCCAAGCGGCGACCCUUCGCCCGCGGGAGUCGCCGCUUUAUCAACCAGCGGGAUGCGCACCUCACCCGCCCUCUGGGGUCACGUGGCCCUCAGGGGAGGGGAGGGCGGCUGCUGAACAGGAACCUUCUUGGCUCUCCUCCGACAGAUUGCCUAGAGGUCUCUGUGACUUACUUAGAUCCCAAUUCAGAGAUGGCACUAUCAGUCUUAUCUUCCACCAUCUCUGAGCAGCCGCUGCCGGGGCAGGAGGGACAAAGCAACACCAAAACAGACUUGGCUGGGCAGAGUCUCAUCUCAUCGGAGGAAUGGCUUCAACUGCAUGGGCUUAAGAACAACAAAUUGACCUUGAAACAAAUUCUGUCACAGAUUGGAUUCCCACACUGUGAAGAUUAUGUGACUUCUCUGGGGAGACUUGUGGCAUCCCGGUAUGCUGAUGGCCUGUUCCCACAGUUCUGCAGACCUGAAGACGGCAGAGUAUACAAUUUGACAGCUAAAUCAGAACUGAUCUAUCAGUUUGUGGAACAUCUAACACGAGCUGUGGAGAGUUACAAGCAGCGGAUGGACUGGCUCACCAGCAGAAGCCGGCAAAUUUUUGGUGUCAUCUUGGAACAGUGCAUCACCAUAGUGCUGGAUUUUGGUGGCAUGCUGGAGGAGGAGCUUAAUCUGUGUCAAGAUGCUCUAAUAAUGGUCCUCCGGGAGCAGGUAGCUCACAUAGCCAAGUUUAAUAUCAUAUGGAUUUCUCAGGAGCCUGUGAAAUGGCAGGAAAAUGCUGCUCCUGUGACAGAACAGUCCAUAGCUGCUGCCAUCAGUUGGGUUGAGAAACUGCCUUUUGAGCUGGCUGUGAGCCAGGCUAGCCGCCUGGAUGUUCUGUUGGAAGCUGGGAAAGACAAAACGAUUGAAUCCAUUUACUACUUUGUGGUGGGAGAUGUUCCUGAGCAAACCAAGGGGCUUCUGCUUCAGAGGGCUUUGGAGAUUCCAUGCCCUGUCUGCACGGUGUCCUUCAAUGCCAGAGGAGAAGGCACUAUAGCUUUCUUGAAGGAUCUGAGUGCCAAGACCCACAGCAGAUUCCACGCAUUUGCAGAGAGAACAGAGUGUGUGGAGUUUCCAGCAUUUGCCAUAAAGGAUGGUGACAGUGUAAUUCCUUGGAAUUUAAGGAAACUAAAGGGAAAACCCCCUCCAGGAGCUGGAGUCAGAGAGGACGUGUUUCUCAUUUGGAAGGAGAUGGAGGAAGCCUGCAACACUCUGACCCAGAUCCAGAGGCUGAUCACUGAACUACCCAAGUCUAACGUGGCCACAAUAGACCGCGAAUCAGGAGCAACCUCUGUCAAGAAUAAGUCAAACCCAGAGGAUGCCUGGGACUCCAAGAAGUGGCUUCAGAAAUAUGGCUUGAAGGCCCAGAAGCUAUCUUUUUUUGACAUCCUUGCUGACUGCUCCUUUCGCCAUGCUGAUGGGGUCAUUGAUGUAAGAGCCAAACCAGAGAAUGAAUCCGUUCAGACCAGUGCGGAGACCAACAAGAAGACAAUCCAUGCAAAAUACUGCAGUAGAUUUGUCCAUGCUCCCUGGAAGGAUGGGAGCUUGGUCCAUGUCUGCAUUACCAAGGAGAAAUGUACCUGGUACAGUGAGAGAAUCCACACAGUCCUUGCCCAGAUUCAGAAGAGGAUUAAGUGGCUACAGGAUAGAAGUCAAAUCCUCUUUGGAAAAGUACAUGAUGAUUGCAUCUACAUCCUCAUUGAUACAUCUCACUCAAUGAAGAGCAAACUGGACUUGGUGAAGGAUAAGAUCAUCCAGUUUAUACAGGAACAGCUGAAAUAUAAAAGGAAAUUCAAUUUUGUGCAGUUUGACGCUCAAGCAGUUGCUUGGCAGGAAAAACUUGUUGAAAUCAAUGAAGAUAAUUUGAGAGGCGCUCAGUCCUGGAUUAGAGACAUUCAGAUCGGAAGUUCCACAAACACCCUGCAUGCCUUGCAAAUUGCUUUUGCUGAUAAAGAAACACAAGUAAUCUACCUUUUGACAGAUGGGAGACCUGAUCAGCCACCUGAAAUGGUCAUAGAGCAAGUCAAAGUUUUUCAGAAAAUUCCUAUUUACACCAUCUCCUUCAAUUACAAUGAUGAGAUUGCAAAUGGCUUUUUGAAAGAGCUUGCUUCUUUGACUGGGGGAGAGUUCCACUUUUAUAAUUUUGGCUGCAAGGAUCUGUGUCCUCCAGAGGCUGUUCAGAAUGAAGAUCUGACUCUUUUAAUUAAGGAAAUGGAGCAGGGACAAAGUGACCUGGAGAAGGUGAAAGACCUUUAUUCGGAGUCCUUGAUCAUGGAUUGGUGGUACAAUGGAGAAAAGGAAGGGAACAAUAAGCAUCAAAAAGAAAUCUCUUCUAUGGUUUCAACCCCAGAAAAGUGUGCAAAACCUCACUCUGACAUCGAGUCAACACAAAUAUCAUCCCUAAAUCUGUUCCAAGUACCAGAGAAUCUUUCAAAUCAAAAGAUUCAGAAAAAGAAAGUCCUCCAUGCAGAAUCCACCAAAACUAGCCUGCUCAGAAGCCAGAUGUCCACCCUCAAGAGCUCAACUUGCAGUGAGAGGACAGAUGGCCUUUCUGCUUCCAGCAACUGGAACACUUCAAGUGACAGAGAAAUAAGCAUCCUACUGACAAAUGAGUAUCUAGAUGGCAAAUCAUUAGAAACAUUGAGUCGAGAAGGAAGUCAACUUCACAACCAAGAUAUGUCUUCAGAAAACUGGCUCAAGACCCAUGGCUUGGUUGCCAAGAAACUCACCAUCAUGGAUGCCUUAUCAGUGACAGCAGUCCCUCACAUCCCCACCUAUGUUCCCAUUCUGGACAAGCUUGUUGUUUCCAAGGUUUUUGACGAGGUGUUCCCUCUGGCACAUGUGUCCAACGACACCAAUAAGAUGACAUUAAUUAACCCCCAAGGAGUCAAGCUCAAUAUCUACAAGCAAAAAGUGGAACAGGCAAUUAAGAGCUAUGAAAGACGUUUGAAUAAAAUUGUUUGGAGAGCAUUAUCUCAAGAAGAAAAAGAAAAAUUAGAUGCAUAUAAGCCCAUGCGGUACUUAGAGAACAAGGCAGCUUUAAACAGGGCAUUAGAACGGUUGAAUUGGCCCAUUUCAUUGAAGGAGCUGUCGAUGCUGGAAAAUGAAAUCCUUGCUGGGAAAAUGUACAUCCAACAGGCUAUGGAACUCCAGGAGGCUGCCAAGAAGGAGAAUCAUGCAAACAAGUCACAAGGAGAGCAACAAAAAGUUCAAGGAAAUCCAACAAAGAAAACGAAAUCAAAAAAAUUGGAUCCUCUCAAAGGUCAGAAAGUUAUUGCAAGAUGUGAUGAAAAUGGCUUUUAUUUUCCAGGGGUUGUGAAGAAGUGUGUGAGCCCCACCCAUGCACUGGUGGGUUUCAGGUAUGGAGACACCAAGGUUGUGCCGACCUCGUUCAUCACGCCUGUGGGGGGUGCCAUGCCCUGCCCACUGCUCCAGGUUGGAGAUUAUGUCUUUGCCAAAAUUGUGAUACCCAACGGAUUUGAUUUCUAUGUCCCUGCCAUUGUCAUAGCACUUCCAAAUCAGGAUAUGGCUGAAGAUAAAUUCUACACAGUUUUGAAGUGUAACAACCGGAGAGAAUUUUGCCCUCGGAGUGCACUUAUUAAGAUCAGCCAGAACAAGUAUGCUCUCUCUUGCUCUCACAUAAAAUCACCCCUGAUUCAGGAGGAUCCAAAAGUGGAGGAUGUGAACACGAAGAACUCUACUUUCUUAAUAUGGCCACUCAAAGAAAUUGAUACUGGGGAUUUACGAGAGCUAAAACAGGAGAAUGUUAGAAAGAAGAAAAAGAAACCUGCCAAGAGGCUGCCUCUCCAGGAGACGAUGUCCUCAGACUCAGAUGACUCUUCUCCUGGCAUCAGGUCCCAAGAAUCCUACCCCAAGAAACACCCCAACCCCAAGGUGGGAGGGGCACGACAUCACCUAUCACUGGAACACCCUGAAACCUCUCUCAAGAAUAGUAUACAUGAGGUUACUCCCCAGUUUCCAGGCCAGUUUAGUUCCCAGUAUGGCAAAAACUCUAAUACCCUUAAAUAGUGCUGACAUCCACCUCCCCAGAGAAGGUCCUCGGCCCAGGGUCUAGGAGUCAGCCAGCCACGCCAUCGCUGCCAUACCUCCACCUCAAGCAGCCCUGCCCUUCCCUCCUAGAGCCACCCACAGCAGCAAAGGGCUGAGGACCACUUCUGAGAAACCUUAAAGCAGUCUAGUGGCAACUUUGUUUAAGAGCCAACAUUCCUCCAGGGCUGCCCAGACCUCAGCCGCUCAACACUGUGGAACUAGCCCCUCUGCUGAGUCUGUUGUAGGUACCUCUAAUUGAGUGUGGAACCAGAAUAAAAACUCUUACAUUGGAAACAUUUCAAAA